rnacentral:rRNA from 1 species
GAUGAACGCUGGCGGCGUGCCUAAUACAUGCAAGUCGAGCGAACAGACGAGGAGCUUGCUCCUCUGACGUUAGCGGCGGACGGGUGAGUAACACGUGGAUAACCUACCUAUAAGACUGGGAUAACUUCGGGAAACCGGAGCUAAUACCGGAUAAUAUAUUGAACCGCAUGGUUCAAUAGUGAAAGACGGUUUUGCUGUCACUUAUAGAUGGAUCCGCGCCGCAUUAGCUAGUUGGUAAGGUAACGGCUUACCAAGGCAACGAUGCGUAGCCGACCUGAGAGGAUAAUCGGCCACACUAGAACUGAGACACGGUCCAGACUCCUACGGGAGGCAGCAGUAGGGAAUCUUCCGCAAUGGGCGAAAGCCUGACGGAGCAACGCCGCGUGAGUGAUGAAGGUCUUCGGAUCGUAAAACUCUGUUAUUAGGGAAGAACAAAUGUGUAAGUAACUAUGCACGUCUUGACGGUACCUAAUCAGAAAGCCACGGCUAACUACGUG